rnacentral:rRNA from 1 species
UACGUAGGGUGCAAGCGUUGUCCGGAAUUAUUGGGCGUAAAGAGCUCGUAGGCGGUCUGUCGCGUCGGCUGUGAAAACCCGGGGCUCAACCCCGGGCCUGCAGUCGAUACGGGCAGACUAGAGUGUGGUAGGGGAGACUGGAAUUCAUGGUGUAGCAGUGAAAUGCGUAGAGAUCAUGAGGAAGACCAGUGGCGAAGGCGGGUCUCUGGACAGUUCCUGACACUGAGGCGCGAAAGCGUGGGGAGCAAACGGG